rnacentral:rRNA from 3 species
UGGGGUGACUGCGUACCUUUUGUAUAAUGGGUCAGCGACUUAUAUUCUGUAGCAAGGUUAACCGAAUAGGGGAGCCGUAGGGAAACCGAGUCUUAACUGGGCGAAUGAGUUGCAGGGUAUAGACCCGAAACCCGGUGAUCUAUCCAUGGGCAGGUUGAAGGUUGGGUAACACUAACUGGAGGACCGAACCGACUAAUGUUGAAAAAUUAGCGGAUGACUUGUGGAUGGGGGUGAAAGGCCAAUCAAACCGGGAGAUAGCUGGUUCUCCCCGAAAGCUAUUUAGGUAGCGCCUCGUGAACUCAUCUUCGGGGGUAGAGCACUGUUUCGACUAGGGGGUCAUCCCGACUUACCAACUCGAUGCAAACUGCGAAUACCGAAGAAUGUUAUCACGGGAGACACACGGCGGGUGCUAACGUCCGUCGUGAAGAGGGAAACAACCCAGACCGCCAGCUAAGGUCCCAAAGUCAUGGUUAAGUGGGAAACGAAGUGGGAAGGCUCAGACAGCCAGGAUGUUGGCUUAGAAGCAGCCAUCAUUUAAAGAAAGCGUAAUAGCUCACUGGUCGAGUCGGCCCGCGCGGAAGAUGUAACGGGGCUAAACCAUGCACCGAAGCUGCGGCAGC